UUUGCUCGUCUCAAAGGAAAAAGUGACGACUUUAAGAGCAUAUUGCAAGAAAACGGUAAAUUUUUGGGCAAAUAUUUGAUUACAUAGUGAUGUUGAAUU